rnacentral:lncRNA from 1 species
UAUAAAAUACCCCCCAGCCGAAGUUCGUGACAGGAAUGACCCUCCGGGAAUUCUACCGACUUCCGACCUUCGGCGACAUCUCUCCGAACCUCUCUGGCGGCCGAGCCUCCGCAACACUCCCAAGUUUUGCCGACGGAUAAGCCCCCACCAGUGUCGACCAGAUUCUUCAUGACGGACGGACUCCACCCAAGUUUCCACG